rnacentral:tRNA from 1 species
UGGCUCAGAGGUUAAAGCGUCUGCCUGUAAUGCAGGAGACCUGGGUUCGAUUCCUGG